CCUACGGGAGGCAGCAGUGGGGAAUAUUGCACAAUGGGCGAAAGCCUGAUGCAGCAACGCCGCGUGAGCGAUGAAGGCCUUCGGGUCGUAAAGCUCUGUCCUCAAGGAAGAUAAUGACGGUACUUGAGGAGGAAGCCCCGGCUAACUACGUGCCAGCAGCCGCGGUAAUACGUAGGGGGCUAGCGUUAUCCGGAAUUACUGGGCGUAAGGGGUGCGUAGGUGGUUUCUUAAGUCAGAGGUGAAAGGCUAUGGCUCAACCGUAGUAAGCCUUUGAAACUGGGGAACUUGAGUGCAGGAGAGGAGAGUGGAAUUCCUGGUGUAGCGGUGAAAUGCGUAGAUAUUAGGAGGAACCCCAGUUGCGAAGGCGGCUCUCUGGACUGUAACUGACACUGAGGCACGAAAGCGUGGGGAGCAAACAGGAUUAGAUACCCGUGUAGUC
rnacentral:rRNA from 1 species